AUUUAAGGCGAUUAUGAUUUCUAAUUCUCUGAACUGCUGUACUUUUUAUGUUAGAGGAAAAUUCUGUGUUCACUUGAAUCACAACACUCAACACACAAUACAUUUUAUUUUUAACAAUUUCACUGUUCCACAUUUGGCUGAUAAUGUUUCCCCCCCACAGCAUAGCUACUGUAUAUUCCUAAAGUUAACAAUCCGGUUUUGUUCACAUUUUCUUGCAGAUACCUUGGCCAGAGCAUAACCGGUUAUCUUCACCCAAGAGACCUACUAUUGGUCAAUCCUUUUGGCUUUAAAGAAAACCAGGAAAAUGUUGAGCCAUCGGUAGACUUCAGAGCUGAAACAGGUUUCUCCCCAGUAAUCCAGACCCCACUUCACAGAGCCAAGAGUUUGAGUACAAGUAAGUGAUGUUAUUUGUGACAUUUUUUGUCUUGGAAACUAUUGCUUCUAUUUAAGAUUAGGAAUCCUUUUAUCCAUAAUCUGUUUUUCAUUAGGGCACUUGACUUUCUGGAUAAAAGGUGUCG
ensembl:lncRNA